rnacentral:rRNA from 1 species
CUACGGGAGGCAGCAGUGGGGAAUUUUGGACAAUGGGGGCAACCCUGAUCCAGCCAUGCCGCGUGCGGGAAGAAGGCCUUCGGGUUGUAAACCGCUUUUGUCAGGGAAGAAAUCUUCUGAGUUAACACCUCGGGAGGAUGACGGUACCUGAAGAAUAAGCACCGGCUAACUACGUGCCAGCAGCCGCGGUAAUACGUAGGGUGCAAGCGUUAAUCGGAAUUACUGGGCGUAAAGCGUGCGCAGGCGGUUAUGUAAGACAGAGGUGAAAUCCCCGGGCUCAACCUGGGAACUGCCUUUGUGACUGCAUAGCUGGAGUGCGGCAGAGGGGGAUGGAAUUCCGCGUGUAGCAGUGAAAUGCGUAGAUAUGCGGAGGAACACCGAUGGCGAAGGCAAUCCCCUGGGCCUGCACUGACGCUCAUGCACGAAAGCGUGGGGAGCAAACAGGAUUAGAUACCCCGGUAGUCC